UACGGAGGGGGCUAGCGUUAUUCGGAAUUAUUGGGCGUAAAGGGCGUGUAGGCGGCUUCGUAAGUCUUGUGUGAAAGCCCUCGGCUCAACCGAGGAAUUGCACGAGAAACUGCGUGGCUCGAGUCCGGGAGAGGAUAGUGGAAUUCCCAGUGUAGAGGUGAAAUUCGUAGAUAUUGGGAAGAACACCGAUGGCGAAGGCAGCCAUCUGGACCGACACUGACGCUGAGGCGCGAAAGCGUGGGGAGCAAACAGG
rnacentral:rRNA from 1 species